rnacentral:rRNA from 1 species
AUGAAGAGGGUUGGAGACAUUGUUUCUCUUUUCCAGAGAGAAGCUAUGCAAAUAGGGAAGAAGAAGAAGGCGGAGAAUAUGUCGGAUGUGGUUGAAGAGCAAACCAGCGAAGUUGUGUGUGUACCGAUUGUGAUUGAAGAGCAAAGUGAAGAACCAAUAUUGUCUAUGUCGAAUGUGACCAUAGAGCAAACUGAAGAUGUCUCACCGCCAUCGCCACCGGUUUAUGAUUUUAUCCAUCUUAAACAUGAUCCUUGGGAAAGGCUACCCAUUGCAAGUUAUCCUGUCAAUGAUCAAGAUGCAGUUCGAAGAGCAUAUAUCCUUAAAAAUCCAUUCAAACCUUAUGCACAUAACUUUUAA